UGGAGAGGUGAGAGCCUGUAACCAGCGUGGUAGAAAUGAAGAUACUCCAAGAGACACCUAUGUCUCUUCAUCUCUCACACUAUUGAAACAAGGAACUCUAAUAAUCUGGGUAUUUCCCUGGGAAGCUUAUGCUGGGAGAAGGAAAAGGGGUCAGCUAGAGGGAGAGCCUGUCUUAGGAAAGAGACGCCACACAGUUCUAACACGUCACGGGAUGAGGUGGAAGUCCACACAGUGAAGGUGUAGUUACUAUUAAAGACUUAGUAAUUACAAGCCUGAGUCAGAACAGCCAAGCAGCCUGAAGGAAGAGUCCCAGCUUCUCCAAGGCAGAAGGGACCAAGACGAGAAGUAUGUAAUCUGCCUACCCAAAACUACCAACAAGAAGGAAGAGGUGGGAAGAUCUAUCAUUGCAAGGAAGAGGAGACCUAGACAGAGACAGUGUGAAGAACAGCAGCCAUGGAAGCAGAGACCCACCUCCAGAAGGAACUGGGUACAGAGGCCCACCCACCAGUGACCUGGGAGGCUACCAACCGGAAGGAAGAGGAAGGGAGGAUUCAGCUACCCAAGGACAGUGAGCUGCAGGACAGGAAGGCUAAGAAAGACGUGCUGUCUUCCAGGCCUAAGGAACAGUCAGCAAUAUCCAUGGAGUUGGAAAAUGAGCCAAUAACCAUGUUCCCCCCUCCCACCACUCUCUGCCAGGGUGUAUUCCCCCCUCCCACGGCACUCACGCCAAACUCUGUGUUUCCCCCUCCCACUGCGCUUGCUGGUCAGUAUGUGUUUCCCCCUCCCACUGUGCUCACAGCUCACUCUGUGUUUCCUCCUCCAAAUGCCUUGUUCUUUCAUUGUGGUUCCCUGUCCAAUGGAGUUUCUCUCUCAACCUCCAAUUCCUUCAGCUCCUUUAUUGGGGUUCACCUCUCAAGCCAUUCUUCUUGAGAAAGAGUUAUUUCAUCAGAUAUACUGGCUUGUGCCACAGCUACUGGGACACUACAUGACUUAAAAAAUAAAGCUGAACUCAACUACAGCAUUAUGUUCAGCAGUUAAGUCAAUCUCUGUUCAAUAAACUUUCUGGUUGA